rnacentral:rRNA from 2 species
AAAUUGAAGAGUUUGAUCAUGGCUCAGAUUGAACGCUGGCGGCAGGCCUAACACAUGCAAGUCGAACGGUAGCACAGAGAGCUUGCUCUCGGGUGACGAGUGGCGGACGGGUGAGUAAUGUCUGGGAAACUGCCUGAUGGAGGGGGAUAACUACUGGAAACGG